CCUACGGGUGACAGCAGUGGGGAAUAUUGCGCAAUGGGCGAAAGCCUGACGCAGCGACGCCGCGUGAGGGAUGAAGGUCUUCGGAGCGGAAACCUCUGUCAGCAGGGACGAACAGUCACUGUGCUAAUCAGCAGUGAAUUGACGGUACCUGCAAAGGAAACACCGGCUAACUCCGUGCCAGCAGCCGCGGUAAUACGGAGGGUGCGAGCGUUAAUCGGACGUACUGGGCGUAAAGCGCGCGUAGGCGGUAUGUCAAGUCAAGGGUGAAAUCCCCGCGCUCAACGUGGGAACUGCCUUUGAAACUGGCAAACUGGAGUGUGUGAGAGGAUGGUGGAAUUCCAGGUGUAGGAGUGAAAUCCGUAGAUAUAUGGAGGAACAUCAGUGGCGAAGGCGACUAUCUGGCACAUAACUGACGCUGAGGAGCGAAAGCGUGGGUAGCAAACAGGAUUAGAUACCCGUGUAGUC
rnacentral:rRNA from 1 species